rnacentral:rRNA from 1 species
AGCGAACGCUGGCGGCAGGCCUAACACAUGCAAGUCGAACGAACUCUUCGGAGUUAGUGGCGGACGGGUGAGUAACACGUGGGAACGUGCCUUUAGGUUCGGAAUAACUCAGGGAAACUUGUGCUAAUACCGAAUGUGCCCUUCGGGGGAAAGAUUUAUCGCCUUUAGAGCGGCCCGCGUCUGAUUAGCUAGUUGGUGAGGUAAAGGCUCACCAAGGCGAUGAUCAUUAGCUGGUCUGAGAGGAUGAUCAGCCACAUUGGGACUGAGACACGGCCCAAACUCCUACGGGAGGCAGCAGUGGGGAAUCUUGCGCAAUGGGCGAAAGCCUGACGCAGCCAUGCCGCGUGAAUGAUGAAGGUCUUAGGAUUGUAAAAUUCUUUCACCGGGGACGAUAAUGGCGGUACCCGGAGAAGAAGCCCCGGCUAACUUCGUG